CCUCCAUCUCCCCCAUCCUCCUGUGUCGACUCCUCCUCCUCCAAACAACACGGCGUUUCUACAUCACCGACAACAUGGAGGCCGUCAAAACCUUUAAUAGCGAGUUAUACUCGCUCAAUGACUACAAGCCACCUAUCUCCAAGGCCAAAAUGACACAGAUCACAAAGUCUGCUAUCAAAGCCAUAAAGUUUUACAAGCAUGUUGUUCAGAGUGUUGAAAAAUUCAUCCAAAAGUGUAAGCCAGAGUACAAAGUUCCUGGACUCUAUGUGAUUGACUCCAUUGUCCGCCAAUCAAGGCAUCAGUUUGGUCAAGACAAGGAUCUGUUUGCCCCUAGGUUUAGCAAUAACAUUAUUAAUACAUUUCAGAAUUUAUACCGUUGUGCUGGAGAUGACAAGAGCAAAAUUGUGAGAGUACUAAACCUGUGGCAAAAAAACAAUGUAUUUAAGAGUGAAAUUAUUCAGCCUCUUCUUGACAUGGCUGCUGGGAUCGCCCCUCCGGUUGUUACCCCAGUGUUACCAAGUACUGCCCCUGCUGUCAGCAACACACCAGGUACACCAGUGACUCCAGUUACACCAGCUAAUGUUGUUCAGAGUAUAUCUGAUCCUUGGAUUGCACAGAUUGCCAGCACUGAUACACUUGCUGCUGUGGCACAGAUUCUACAAAGCCCACAGGGACAGCAGGACCCAGCAUGGAUGAAGCCUUCUGACUGGCUUCAGCAGUUAGUCCAAUCUUUGCAUGUUCAGCAACAGAAACCUCAGCCCUCUCUCCUUCAGGCACUAGAUGCUGGCCUAGUCGUUCAGUUACAAGCACUUACUGCUCAGCUGACAGCAGCAGCUUCUGUAUCUAAUACGCUUAACCCACUGGAGCAAAGCAUGAGUCUCAGCAAGAAACUGAUGGAUAGAUUUGAUUUUGGAGAUGAUUCUGAUCGAAAUGAAGAAUCAAGAAAGGAGACAUCUCAGCACUCUCUUGUAUCUGAUUCGGUGAACAACUCAAUUUUCCAUCAAAUUGCGGAACAUUUUCAGCAACAAAAUCUAGAACAUCUCAGACAGCAGUUCCUGGAACAGCACCAUACUCCAAAGGUGGCUGCUCAAGAAGAACAAGAAGUAGUAUCUGAAUCAGAGAAUUCAGCCACACCAUCUCAGGAUGACAGCCAGCAGCAGUUUAUAGAACAUGAUACCCAUCACAAUGCUUCAAUGAACAUGCAACAAGAGGAUAUGGAUAUUGAGGAAAUGCAAGAAGUAGAUGAAGAGAUGUUUGUAAAAGAGGAAAAGAAGAAAGAUGAAAGACCCAGAACACGUUCCAAAUCUCGUUCAAGAUCUCCACGAAAACGUCGAUCAAGGUCUCGUUCUGGCUCUAGAAAGCGUAAACACAGAAAACGAUCUCGCUCUAAAUCAAGAGAAAGAAAAAGAAAGAAUUCACGGUCAUAUUCAAGUGAAAGGCGAGCAAGAGAACGAGAAAAGGAAAGGCAGAAAAAGGGCUUGCCCCCUAUACGAUCGAAAACUUUGAGUGUUUGUAGUACUACACUCUGGGUUGGUCAAGUUGAUAAAAAAGCCACACAGCAAGAUCUAACAAAUGUUUUUGAGGAGUUUGGACAAAUUGAAUCAAUUAACAUGAUUCCACCACGAGGUUGUGCAUACAUCUGUAUGGUUCACAGACAAGAUGCUUACAGAGCCCUUCAAAAAUUGGGCACUGCACCUUGCAAAAUUGGAUCUAAAAUUAUCAAGAUUGCCUGGGCUUUAAAUAAAGGUGUAAAAGCAGAGUACAAACAAUUCUGGGAUGUUGAUCUUGGAAUCACAUAUAUUCCUUGGGAGAAAGUCAAGUUGGAUGACUUAAAUGAUUUUGCAGAAGGUGGAAUGAUUGACCAGGAGACUGUAAAUAGUGAUUGGGAAACCCAUAGAAGCACAGAAGCAACUGUUGUCAAAGAGCCUGCAACUACUAUUACUGCCCCUCCUGCUCAUUCCCCCAACCCCACUACAACUGCUCAAAGUCCAGUUACUCCUAAAUCAACAUUUAUAAGUACACAGCCUGAGGCCUACACCCAGCCUGUGGCAAUGCUUCAGAUUCCAGUUGCCCCCGCAAUCCCAGCUGUAAGUUUAGUACCUCCAGCAUUUCCUGUCUCAAUGUCAGUGCCUCCCCCAGGCUUCCAUGGUAUCCCACCGCCUGCCUUCAUGAGGGCAAGUUUCAACCCUUCACAUCCACCUCCUGGUUUUAUUCCGCCUCCUGUUCCACCACCAACCAUCCCUCCUCCUGCUAUAAACUCUGCUCUUCCAACAUCUCUUCCAACAGCUUUACUUCCACCUCGACUUCCAAUACCACCUCCUGAUACUAUGAAAGAUGUUCCAUUUGGUGGUCUUAUAUUACCUGUUGCCUCAGUUCCUAGCACUCAGUCUACUACAACUAUGUCUACAUCAUCCGUUUUUAACUCUGCUUCAAGUAGUCAAGCAGAGCAGGAAGAAAAAAGGUCACAGACAUUAGAUCAACAGACAUCAGCCAAUGAAAGGACAGCAGCACAUGCUUCUCAAAGUUCUGUGAUUAGCAGUACUGGAUUCUUGGGUGUUCAACCACCGCCACCACCAAUAACAACACACAUUCCUCAUGUAAAUGUUCCUGGCCAGAUAGCUGGCAUGCCUUUCCUGGAUGUACGACAGGGAUUAUUGCCUCAACCGGGAACAGCAAGAUUUACUAUCUUACCACCAGGGAUUCCUCCUCCGCCACCACCAAGAGGCAUUCUUCCCCCAAAUCUUAUUGAAAAUGCUGUCCCUCCAUUGCCAUUUCUUCCAGGAGAUUUGUUUCCUCGUGCUGAAAGACCUUUUGGAACUCAAGCAAAAUUAAAUACUGAUACUGUUCAAGAAAAAAGACUUCCCCCACCAAGCAGUAAUAUUCAGCAAGAAGGUGACAAAGAUUACCGUUUUCCUCCUUUAGAAAAUCGUGAGACUAAUAAACCUGCUGACCUUGAUCACAGUAACCUUGAAAAGCAGGUUAUGAGUAUAGCUAAUCUACCUGAUAAUAAAAUAAGUCAUACAGUAGAUGAUCACGAACCACAGGAUAUGGCUGUUGUAGAUCCUUGUGAGGGUCAAGAUAAGUCUAGUUUAGAGUCUGCUGAAAGUUUAGAGGACUCAAACAGAGGGCAAAAGAACCCUGAGGAAAAUCUAUUUGAGAGUCAAAGUGGAUAUUAUCUCUCUGGAAAUAAUUCUUCAGAGACCCAAGAUAGUCAAGUAAGGCCACCAGGUGAUGCAAGACAGCAUUUUGUAGGUACUCCAGUAGAUAUGCUGCAACAAUUCAUUCAACCUUCAUUAGACGUUAGGGAGUUUUUUAGCAGGCCACCUUUAGAACCUAGGGAUCAUUUUGGUAGGCCACCUGUAGAGAAUAGGGAGCACUUUUUACAACCUGCAUUAGAGAGCAGAAAUCCUUUUGUAAGACCACCCAUGGAUACCAGAGAACAAUUUGGAAGACCUCCCCCAAAUAUCAGGGCAAGAUUACCAUUGGAUAGUCCUGGUAGAAGGGAACACUUAUUUUUCCCUGGAGAUAAACCAUGGGGACCCCGAGGGGAUUUUGAUGAAAGACACCACCAUCGUUUUCCAGUUUAUGGAGUUCCGAGAGGCUUUCACGAGGAGAGGUUUCAUCAUGGAGGCUUCAGACAUGAACCUCGAAAUGCUCCCAACUGGAACAGAGGGUUUGAUCAUGAUGCACACAGGGAUUUUGAUGACCGUCGUCGUCCUUGGGAAAGGCAAAGGGUAAGGGAUGAACGAGAUUCUGAUUUUCGUAGAGAAGUCAAUGGCAGCCGCAUAGGAAGAGAAAAACAAGAAAGCAACUGGGUUCCUUCACAACCUGAAGUUUUUGAAUAUUUCCCUGAGGCCACCACUAGUAAUGAAAAAGAAAGCGACACGCCUCAGGUGAAUGGUGAAAAUCCAGAGACAGUUGAUCUGGAACAAACUGUUAAUAAACCAAAUGAAACUGAACUUUGUGAACAGCAAGAAUCUUCUGACAAGAAAGUAGAAGAUGAGGUCGAAAAGAAAGAUGAAAUAGAAAGUCAACCAGUGGUUGAAAGCACAGAAACUGAGGGAACAUAAUCAUCACUCAGUAGUGGUUGGAAGAGGAAGAUGAGAAUGAUGAAAAGAAGGAACAGGGAGAUGCAUGAAGAGGAAUCUAUGAAAUUAACAGAUCGCAAAAUAAAGACAGAUGAUUAUAAGGGAAAAACUGGGAUGAAGAUAGCAUGAGCAAGGACAGUAAAGAAAAUGUUACUCAAGUACCUUUACCAAGAAGGAUUUUGAGACUACAAAAUGCCUCGACCACAAUCGGUGACGGCUAGGGUGGUGAUGAUCAUGCUUCAGCCAUUCCAUCAACCUCGUCCAGAAUGUCGAUGACAAGUGGUGGUGUCCUUACUGGACAAUUGAUACGCAGACAUCAUCUACUAGCCAUACCUUGUUAUCAGCUGAUACACUUCCACAUUUAAAUUUUUGCUGACCUUGGACAUCUUUUUAGGACCAUGACGGGAAGUUCUCCACGGUUGUUUGAUGAUACAGAAUAAUCAUCAAGGGAGGUAAUUUUAAAUAUGGUUGCUGUAGAACCAGAAAUACCAGAGAUGGAGGAACAUCAAUCCGGGAUUUGGGAAGUGAGACCCCGGAAUAUUUGGAUGAAAUCAUGGAUGUACAACCAAUGGAAAAUCCAUCAACCUGUUCCUGAUGAAUCAGAAGUUCAUGAACCAACACUUCAAGAAAAUGUACAGCCAGCACAACCACAAGCUCAGGAAAGACCAGUGGUACCUGGCAACUCUGAAAUCGAUUAACAACUUGAUGAUGUGUGUCUCAAUGAAAUGAUCUCUCUUGCUAGGACAAUAUAGGGUGGAUCAUAGAGAGUUACAAAAUGUUAUAAUCGCACACCUGGACCGAAGUUCGUCAUUAGCAGAAAGACAAUUGCAAUUAGACAGAGAGAGGUUUGAUUGGCAGAGGCGAAUGGCAUGAGGAACACAAUGAACAGAUCAAUCGUUCAUUACGCCUCGCAGACACACAGUGAAUGUUCUCCUGUCCAUUAUUCGGGAAAGACAGGGUCCUUCGGACCCCAAUAGGCCAGGACAUCAGUGAUAGCCAUUAAUUUUGUUUUUAUAUUUAUACAUCUAAUUCACACUGUUUGUGAUUUUGCACUUUUUUAUUCAUUUUUUAUUUUUGUUCAAUAUAAUUUUUUAUUUUUGAGUUCCAUUAAUAUAUAUAAAAAAAAAUUAACAUUUGUUAUUUAAAUAGAUUUUUUUUAAUACAAUUUGAAAAAACAAGGAA